rnacentral:lncRNA from 1 species
UUUUUUUCCCCCUUUUUCUUAUGGGACAAAAUAAAUAAAUCAAAAUCUACUUAGUAAAUACAUAUACUAUUGAAUUUGAUGGGAAACGCAUUGUACACAAUUAGUUUUAACGAUCGAAUCGUCAACCUUGUUUGCAUAUACUUCGAGAUCGCAUAUGUCAAAAAUCGUAAAAAACAAACAAUCAGAUAUCAAGUAACGGGACAAACCUUUUCAACGCUUAUAAACGAAAAUCACAAUUUAACAGUUAUUUGAACUCCGAUCUUGAUGAUUUUUUACAGCUACCCUCCUUAACCCUAUAUGAAUACAACGAACUAAUUUUAUCAUCAAUUUAAAAUAUUUACACAAGUGGAUACUACAAAAUCUUAUGUUAUGCUUGAUGAAAGUAUUAAUAAACUCAAGUGUUAGGGAAUCUAUCGUUUUGAUGGGAUACGCAUUGUAAAAAACUAAUUUCAACGAUCCAACCGUCAAACUUUUUUGUAUAUACUUCGAUCGCAUAUGGCAAAAAUAAAAAAAAAAUUCAGAUAUCAAGUAACGGGACAAACCUUUUCGACGGCUAGAAACGAAAAAUCACGAUUUAACGGUUGUUUUAACUCUGAUUUUGAUGAUUUUUUAUAUCUACACUCUUUAAACCUAUAUGAAUACAAUGAACAAAUUCGAUCGUCAAUUUAAAACAUUUACACAAGUGGAUACCACAAAAUCUUAUGUUAUACUUAGUGAAAGUAUAAAUAAACUCCAAGUGUUAAUGAAUCUAACGUUUUGAUGGGAUACGCAUUGUACGAAACUAAUUUCAAAGAU